GAGGGCUCCCUUUCAUACCAGGCUGAGCUCUCGCCCCUGGUACCGGAGUCAGUGGUCGCCCCUCGAACUGGAGGGAGCGCUCCUCUUCGGCACCAGAGUGGGCGCUCCCCCUUGCACCGGUGUGAGCGCUCGCCCCUCGAGCUAGAGCGAGCGCUCCCCUUCGGUACCGGAGCGAUCACCCCUCGCACCGGAAUGAGCUCUCGCCCCCUUGUGCCGGAGAGGGCGCUCCCCCUCGGUACCGGAGUGAGCGAAAUCCCCUCGCACCGCAGUGAUCGCUCCUCUUCGGUACCGGAGGGAACUCUCUCCCCUUGAACCGGAGUGGGUGCCACCCCCCCGCACCGGAGGGAGCUCUCGCCCCUCGAGCCGAAGUGAUCGCUCCCCUUCGCGGAGACUUGCAUUUUCUUCAGAAGAAGCUGGAAAAAGUCAUGGUGAAGAUGACUCUUUCUGCAUUCAGGAAAGGAAAGCUGAGGUGACAUGAAGGCUGGAAGUGUCAUCUGUAUGGCAGAAGGUGCAGAUGUCUGGCAGAAAAAAGGACUGCCAUGAAGAGGCAGAUGAUGCAAUAAACUCCAGCAGAAUAAAGGGUAAGAUUAUGUGGCGAAUUUGCACUAAAAACUGGGAAUUUAUCAGCUGGAAAUGGAGAUGGAAAUGGGUACAAAGCACUGGGUCACUGAGCCAGUCAGGAUGAAUAUUGUCAUCAGUGUGAUCCAACCAUGAAAGGCAAACCGAGGCUGAGGAUAUCCCUGAUGACAUGUUUCCAGUGAAGCGAAAGUAGUAUUCAGGCGUUUUUUGCAAAAGACAGUGCUGGGACUUUAUCUGAAAUGUUGUGUACAGUGGUGGCACU